UCGUAGUGUAUAUUCUUCAAAACUGAUGAAUGAAGGAAUUCUAGGCCUACAGUUUUCAGAACUUGGAGAACACUGAGCGGCCAACUCACCUCCAAGAACAUGGAAAUGAUAGAGAAACAUGAUCCUCUCCUGGUGAUUCGACUGUAGCGUAAACUCAAAGGAUGUAGAAAGCUAUAUGGGACCAUCAUUCCCACCAUGAGGAUGAGAAGAAGCUGGAUAACCAACAAAAGUCGUGGCUUUGCUGUUUGAGCUCAUCUCAGAGCUAAGAUCACAAGGCAAUCUAAUGAGGUGAAAAAACCCACCCUCCUCCUAGGAAAGAAGAGGCGUAUGGUUAACUCACAACUUGGCGACCGAACAGCAACAGCAAUGGUUAACUCCACUUUUUGCAGGGGAGAGAGAGGAGGAAGGAGCGCCCAUAA